rnacentral:rRNA from 1 species
UACGUAGGGGGCAAGCGUUGUCCGGAAUCAUUGGGCGUAAAGCGCGUGUAGGCGGCUCGGUAAGUCUGCUGUGAAAGUCCAGGGCUCAACCUUGGGAUGCCGGUGGAUACUGUCGAGCUCGAGUCCGGAAGAGGCGAGUGGAAUUCCUGGUGUAGCGGUGAAAUGCGCAGAUAUCAGGAGGAACACCAAUGGCGAAGGCAGCUCGCUGGGACGUGACUGACGCUGAGACGCGAAAGCGUGGGGAGCAAACAGG